rnacentral:rRNA from 1 species
AUUGAACGCUGGCGGCAUGCCUAACACAUGCAAGUCGAACGGUAACGCUGGAAGCUUGCUUCCUGGCGACGAGUGGCGGACGGGUGAGUAAUGCUUGGGAAUUUGCCUAGUAGUGGGGGACAACACGGGGAAACUCGCGCUAAUACCGCAUACGCCCUACGGGGGAAAGCGGGGGAUCUUCGGACCUCGCGCUAUUAGAUGAGCCCAAGUCGGAUUAGCUUGUUGAUGAGGUAAAGGCUCACCAAGGCAACGAUCCGUAGCUGGUCUGAGAGGACGAUCAGCCACACUGGGACUAAGACACGGCCCAG